rnacentral:pre_miRNA from 1 species
UCUUAUGGAUGAGCAAGGAAAGUAGUUUCCUGAGAUGGAAUCUACUCCUGUUGUGGGUGCUGUGAA